GGCAACCUUUGCAGUGACAGCAUUGUUUCCAUCUGUGCUCACAUGAGAGAUUUUUAAUCUUAGUGUUUAAAGUUCUGAAAUAACCAUACAGACACAAUUACUUCAUUUCUUAGGGAUCGUUCCAGCUGGUGUACGGCAACCUGGUGUACCCGCAACAAGCAAGCUGGCCCCUACCUUCUGCUCAGCAAGCCAAAUAAUUGUUGGUAUUGCCUCUAAUUACAACAGAAAAUUACAAACUGCAUAUCAAGUGCCCAGUGGGGAUUGGAGGAAAUGGGAUGCAAUGAUGAAGAGCCAUUUCAAGACAUUUCAUUUGGAUUAAGACAGUACUGACUCUAAGAAAAAAAAAAUAAGUGUAAGCUAUAGCAUAAAAUCCAGAACUGUUGAACUUCUGUGACAGUGAAACAAACUGUUCAGCAGAGAGAACAGAACAACAUCGUGAAAUUGCCAUCAAAAUAAUCCAGUCUGUCAAGUGCCUUGUGCUGACUUUGGGGCUGUGUGGCAGGAUGCAAACCCCCCUCUCUCCCCCUCCCUCCUUCAGUAUGGAAGGAGUAGGCACAUCUCCCUCUCUCUCUGCUACCUGAAGCUAACAGCUGCUUUUGUUUGGCCCCAGAGCACCCUGGCCAGGGCCAUUAGAAGAAGGGAGUGCCGAGGCGCCAGUGAGCCGCUGGGCACCUGCAGCCAGUGUGGGGGAUGUUUGGAGGCUUCAGGGGCACCCCACAGCCAGUGUGGGGGUGCAGAGAAGCUUCUGGAAUGCCUACAGUCAGAUCUGAUCAGCCAAUAAAAAAACAGGACUCUCGUUGAGACUUGACCCAUUGUCGCGCGUCUCUCGGAGCACGAGCAAGAUGCUGCCCCCGAGAGCCCCCCUCCCCGGGAUGGAGACUCCGCUUGCCUUGCUGCCAAGGGUGCUGUCAUUAACUUCAGUUAAGAGAAGAUGUGGCCUGAAAUGAGGCAGCCACAUAACCUACGCAUCUUGCCAGACACCCCACCGGCUUCUUAGCUCUGCUCCUGACAUAUGUUGUCAUUCCACUGGCAGUCACGAGGUCACAGCGAUUAGUGAAGGACUCCUUGCUGCUGUACGAGAAAGCUGUUGAAGUCCCUCGAUGGUUAAAGGCUACUCACUGAGUCUUUCAUGCUGGACUACUGGGGUCUGGACUUACACAGAUUACAGUGAGAAUAAGCUGAAUGAUGGAUGCAGUCCCACCCUUCUUUGAACCAUGAGAACAUGCCACUUGUAGCUGUGAACUAACAGACAUCACUUCCAUUAAAAGUAAGAAGAUGGCGUUUUCUCCACCUCUUCAUAUGCAUUUUGUAGGAGAUAGCAUGAUAAAAGCUACAGGGUUAAUGGAAAAAUAUCUAAUUUUAUGGUCUGAUACCUCCAUAAUCUUUAGGAUUUCAGAAAAGUAUUUUUGUUUCUAGCCUAAUUUUAUUUAAGAUACUGUAUUGAAGGAUUUAAUUUAGAUAAUGUGCAUACCCUCAUAUUUAAAAUUAAAAUACGCAAGGAUUUUCUAGAUCACUGGGGAAAAUGAUUAUAUUACUUGCUAGCAUGCUGUUUAUCCUUUACAGAUGUUUAAGUAGUACUCAGCAUUUCUUUUCCAUCACUUUUGUUUUCUGCAUCUGCUGAAGAAUUCUUUAGUGGAUUUUCCCCAUGAAGUGCCAUUCAAAAUACUCUAAUCUUUGUGUUGUUUCAAAUUUUCUCUUCUCAACAUGCUACUUUACAUGCAAUAAUCUAGCUAUUACUGCAGCUGUCUUUCUCCAUGGGCAAUUUGUACUGUUGUAGUUCAACAACAGUUAGUUUCUAUGCAAUAUUGUAUUGGUUUUGUUACUUUUAAUUAUUAAGAAAGUAAGCUGAAAGAAAAUAAGCUUUAACGUUAUUUUUAAGAAGGGAUAACAGGAUGUGUAUGAUGCUACUUCUGUAGGCUGACUGGCCUCAGUCAUACCAUCUCCCACAAUAUGCUCUGUUUCAGCCACAUAGUUGAAGGAACACAGAGAGCUACUAUUUCUGUAAUAAAAAUAAAACCACUAAAGGUCCAGCAUACUUUGAUUUUGGAAGUAAGCUCUUCAUAAACACUUACCUGCGUAAGUUUGUGAUUAACUGAAAUUAUGCUAGUACAGCAUCUUUACAGGUUAUUGUUACACAGCUUGCAAAAGUCUAAAUCUAUUUCAAAUGUCAAUAUAAUGCUAAGAAUACCUUCUGGCUACAAAAAAACCCCACAUAGUCUGGGCUCUUUUCAUUACAUUCCAUUUCAUCAGACUUCACUUGAAGCAACUAAAAUAUAUAUACUUAACUUUCACAUGUAAACGUACCUUUAUAUUAUCAACCACCAGCUGAAUUUUGUAUUACUUUUCAGUAAGUUCCUUCCUUUUAAAAAUGUUGUAAUCUAUUCCAUUUAUUUGCAAUUUUGUUAUUCCGUAGUAGCAAAACGAGUCAACUAUAUACCAUGUUCCUAUCCAAAGUGUUGUAAAAUGCAUUUGCUGUACUAUAAUUAAAUAUCUCCUUCUUAUUGAACCUCACUAGUUUUGCUGCACCCAUUUUGCAAUAGUGUUAAUGUGCUUCUAACAGCAUUUCAUGGUAACAGCUUUGCUCCAGAUCCUUAAAGAAGAGCCUUGUAAAACAUAGAAGUUUUGAUACAUAUGAAUGCUAAUAGAGUUAUUUCCACCAUGUGUAUAUGCUGGAAAUAAGACUCAAUCAUCUGACCAGUGCAUUUUAAAUUUGGCAAUCUUUCUGCUCAGUUGAGAUCAGCAGAUUGUUAAACACUCAUGGGUCAGGACUUUUUAUUAGAAGACCUUGGUCUUAUAUUCUCACUUAAAACAAUUCAUCAUUGCCCUUUCCGUCUGAAGAAGUUUUAUGUUUUGAGAGUUAAUUUACUGUAUAAAGUUUGAUUUGAUAGGCCCUGAACCUUCUGCUCAGAAGUUAGUUAACAUUACAUUUUUCCUACUCUUUUUUUUUUUAAGCUUUAAAAUCAUGGUUGAUUUCCCUAUAAUGAAUAAUUAAUAAAGUAAACUGUUCUGCUGGAUGAAUUAGAAAGGAAACAGAAUAGCAAAAUAGCCUUUUGCCUUUAUAGUUGGGGUAGAAAAGCGUGAUUGUGAAAGUAGAACAUGAAUAUAUGCAUAAAUGUUCAACUCUUUCACAGACCACCAGGGCUAUCUGGAGACAUCCCGGCAAAUUUAGCCACAGGGCACACUAGCUCACGUUUCAUUCAAUAGCAUAGAAAUUGUAUACAUUAAAGCCAGAGUAAUGUAUUCUAUCAUGUUCCUAUUAGCUAUAUGUAAACCAAAAAUGCCUGUGUUUUUUUACAGAUAAACGUUCAAAAGAGGAAUUAGAAGAGUUUACCUAAAGAGAUCCCAAAGCCAAAUACCUCACAUUAUUCCUUCACUAACUUUAAAAUCUUCCUUAGGUCCUCUGAGUUCUAAAUCUAAUUUUUAUAUUAAUCUAUAUAAAUCCAAUUUUACAUUAAUUUAUGUUAAGUGAUCGCCACAACAACUAAGACGCAAAACAGUGAAUAAAAGCCUACCUGACAAAGCUGAAAAAGAACACUUGCACUGCACCUGAGGAGCUAAACAUACUGCUUCUACACCCAAUUACUUUACACUGGCUGCUGACAACAGAAAAUAUUGUAGAUCUCUUUCAGCAUGUUCCACAACAAAUCUGUUGAAAUUUGUGAUUUCUCCCAAAAUCCAUUAUGUUUCUGUAUAGCAGAAGGAAAACAUAUUUCCAUAUAUAUAAAAAAAAAAAAAGGUAUAAACAUUUUUAUUUGGCAUACAAACACUUCAGUUGAAGCCAUAUUUUCCAUCAGAAGAUGUAUGUUUCCCAAUAUGUAUUUUAUUAACGUUAUAAUCAUAUUUAUCUGCAGAAUCCCAAGAAUUCUUACAAAAGCAAAUAUGCAACAUACAUCAUGUUUCCCAGACUUUGUGAAUUCCCUCUUUCUCUUCAAAUUUCCCCAAGAAAUUUCUUUACCCUGUUUUCUGGACUAUAAAUCAGAAUUUCUCAUGGGAAUAAAAAACAGUGUACCUCUUGAUUCUAAGCAAAUAAAAGAAUCUCUGCUAUAAAUUAAGAAGCCCAAGGGUGUAAUUAUACAAAUAAAUUAUUCAGAGGUAGAUUUACUGUAUUUUGGCCAUUCUGUUAAAAGUCUACACAUACAUGCUCUUUUUCUGAAGUAAUUGAAGCUAUUUUACCUUAAAUUCAAAAAGAUAUGUGCAUACUUACACAACAUUGUCAGAGAAUGGAUUUUCUUGGCUUUAUGCCUGAUUUGAAAAAGUAAAAUUGAAAGUAUUAUGCCACAAUUAAUGAUACCCUACUUGUGAUAUUAUUAUGUUCUUUCUUAUAUUAAAAAAGGAAAAUAAAAACUGCAGACUAUUAAUUUCAAAAUCUAUAGGAGAAACUUCUCAUUAGAAAACCCUCACCCCUUUAAAAAGCCCAGUCUUCACUAACAUCACGCUAUCAAAAAGUAAAAGCUAAUAUGUUAAAGUUUCUUUUUAUUAUGUGCCUCUGAGUUCUGAGCCUUGAAGGGCUUUUCAUGAUCAUCUUUCAUAAUCAAGAAAGACAAGAGAUUUUCACCAUAUGAGUUCUGAAAUAAGUAUAUGCUCACAUAGGUCCAAUUUAAUUGCAACUGUAGCAAUACUUCUGAUAAAAAGUCACAUGUCAUGCAGGGCAAAAACUGUAAAUGUUUCUCUGCACGCAAGGAACCAUCUCCGUGACCUGAGAGUGACUUUUUCACUAAAUAUAAUCCUAUGAGUUCAGUGUUUCUUCCUUUUUUCCACAUUAUGAAAUAUCUAACAUGUUCUAAGUAGAUUUCUUUUUCUUUCCUUUUCUUUUUUUUUUUCUAAUUUGUUGCAAAGACAUAGUUGUUGUGAUAGAUACCAACAGGAAAGUGUAUUUGGAAAAAUCAAUAGUAAGAGCAAAGGUGUGAAACAGCUUGCCCUUUGUCACUGUGGUCUGGUUACUGAGAUGAACAAAAAUCUUAAAGAGUAAUGAAAUAACAAAAGGCAAUCAGAAAAUGAAAGGCAAGUCAUUUCAAGAAAUAUUUCCUCUACAACAUUAGGAAUUGUAGAGGAACUGGGGGAACAAACAAAAACAAGAACAACUCCCUUUGACCUUUGGAUAAAAAAUAAAACAUUAUCGUUUUCAAUUCAUAGAAUGCUAACUCACAUAAGUUGCAAUUACAAUUCUGAGUACAUCGACUUGCUUCUAUGUGCCAAAAUUCAUUGAUAGA